rnacentral:rRNA from 1 species
AAAAACAUGUCCUUUUGUUUAUGAUUUAAGGUCUGACCUGCCCAAUGAUUAUUUAAAUGGCCGCAGUAUUUUGACUGUGCAAAGGUAGCAUAAUCAUUAGUUUUUUAAAUGGAAGCUGGUAUGAAUGGUUUGAUGAGAAAAUAACUGUCUCAAUAUAAUUGAUUUUGAAUUUUAAUUUUAAGUUAAAAAGCUUAAAUGUCAUAGAAAGACGAGAAGACCCUAUAGAGUUUUAUUUUUUACUUAAUAUGUUUUUUUUGGGUUUUAAUAUUACUUAUUAUUUAAAGAAUUUUGUUGGGGUGAUAUAAAAAUUGAAUUAACUUUUUAUUUAUUUGUACAUUUAUUAAUGAAUUUUUGAUCCUUUAUUUAAGAUUAAAAGAUUAAAUUACCUUAGGGAUAACAGCGUAAUUUUUUUGGAGAGUUCUUAUCGAUAAGAAAGUUUGCGACCUCGAUGU